AGAAAGGUAAGCUAAAUUAAGCUAUUAGGUUCAUACCCUGCUCAUAGAAGUAAUAAUCUUCUCCUUCCUA
rnacentral:tRNA from 1 species